GAUGAACGCUGGCGGCGUGCCUAAUACAUGCAAGUCGAGCGAACGGACGAGAAGCUUGCUUUUCUGAUGUUGGCGGCGGACGGGUGAGUAACACGUGGAUAACCUACCUAUAAGACUGGGAUAACUUCGGGAAACCGGAGCUAAUACCGGAUAAUAUUUUGAACCGCAUGGUUCAUAAGUGAAAGACGGUCUUGCUGUCACUUAUAGAUGGAUCCGCGCUGCAUUAGCUAGUUGGUAAGGUAACGGCUUACCAAGGCAACGAUGCAUAGCCGACCUGAGAGGGUGAUCGGCCACACUGGAACUGAGACACGGUCCAGACUCCUACGGGAGGCAGCAGUAGGGAAUCUUCCGCAAUGGGCGAAAGCCUGACGGAGCAACGCCGCGUGAGUGAUGAAGGUCUUCGGAUCGUAAAACUCUGUUAUUAGGGAAGAACAUAUGUGUAAGUAACUGUGCACAUCUUGACGGUACCUAAUCAGAAAGCCACGGCUAACUACGUG
rnacentral:rRNA from 1 species